AACGAACGCUGGCGGCGCGCCUAAUACAUGCAAGUCGAACGAGAAGCUGUAGCAAUACAGUUGUACAGUGGCGAACGGGUGAGGAAUACAUGGGUGACCUACCCUCGAGUGGGGAAUAACCAGCCGAAAGGUUGGCUAAUACCGCGUACGCUUCCCAGUCUACGGGUUGGGAAGGAAAGCGAUGCCGUGGGUAUCGCGCUCAAGGUUGGGCUCAUGUCCUAUCAGCUUGUUGGGGGGUAACGGCUCACCAAGGCAACGACGGGUAGCUGGUCUGAGAGGACGAUCAGCCACACUGGCACUGCGACACGGGCCAGACUCCUACGGGAGGCAGCAGUAAGGAAUAUUGCGCAAUGGGCGAAAGCCUGACGCAGCGACGCCGCGUGGGGGAUGAAGGUCUUCGGAUUGUAAACCCCUUUCGGGAGGGAGGAUGGAACGAGCAAUCGUUCGGACGGUACCUCCAGAAGCAGCCACGGCUAACUUCGUGCCAGCAGCCG
rnacentral:rRNA from 1 species